CUGUCAAACUCAGAGGAAAUCACCUUUUCAAAAGACUCUGUGUUGUUUCAAAAUAAAUGAGCCAGGGCUUGGUCUUCCCUUUGAACUCAUCCAAAGUAAUUAAGACGGAAAAUUACACAACUUGAAUCUGGGGUUAUUUAGCCGUCAAGUUUGUGGACCAUAUCGUAGAAUCGGUCGUUACCAAAUUUUUUCCUUUAAGAAUCACGACUUGUGUAUUUUUUCCUUGUUGCCCAAGUUCAUACAAACCCCUAUAAAUAAUAGGAAUAUCGUCUCACGUCUCAAUACCAUUCAUUCAACAAUUCACUCCUUAAAAUCAAGCUCACUUUCUCUCAAAAACCUUAAACAAUACUGCAGUCGUUUGAAACACAUAAAAAUGUUGUCAAUGAAUCAUGGCUUAGCGGAAGCUUAUGUAAUGAGGAAGCAUCUGCAGGAGAAGAUGAAGAAGCUGAAUUCUACAUCAAAAAAUGGAGAGGAGAAAGAAGGUUCGGCUGAUAACAAGGACGGAGGGUGCUUUCCGAUGCUAAAGAAGAAGAUACAUCCUAAUAGCACUACCUCCUCGGAUUCGCAGUGAUCACUCUUUUUUUACUCCUUCAUGUCCUCUCCUGGAGUGAAUCAAAUUCAAAUUAGUUGUUCGUAGUUACUCCUUCUGUCCAAUUUAUGUGAGGUGUGGCUUCGUCUCCACGCGAAAAUUAAAUUUCCAAACGGACCAAGAAAGAAAGAAAGACGCCACUGAAGUUGGGAACAGUUAGGCACCAUGCUCGUGGACCACAUCGUUCCAAAAGUCGUCACGAUGUAAAAAUAAUCACGGAUUGCGUCAUAUUUUCUCGUUGCUCAACUCUGUGAACCCCUAUAUAACAUUCAUGCACUUGUAUUCUUUCUUUCCAUACCAUUCAUUCACUCAUCUUCCUCGAUUUUCAACUAAAAAGCUUGCGAUAAUGUCGACAAUGAGCUACGGUUUAGCUGAAGUUUAUGUGAUGAGGAAGUUGCAAAAAGACAAGAUGAGCAAAACGGGAGCGCGAGUUAAGAAGGAGCUUACAAGAGAAGAUGCGGUUGAUUAUAAGAAGAAGAAUGUCGAUUCUGGCUGCUUUUCAAUGGUGUUAAAGAAGAUACAUCCUAACAUUAAUUCUUCGUCGGAAUAAUGGCAGAUUAUUUUUUCCGAUUGAUUAAUUUGAAGCUUCCGGCAGAGUAUAUGUAAUUCAGAUUAGUUGUUUGUAAUUUGUAUAGUCUGCUUCAAGUAUAUUUAUUGUGUUCAAUACUUGUUCAAAAAUUCUUUGGUUUUGUAUGACUCAGAUUUCUGGUGUUUCUCCGAAAA